AGAGUUUGAUCAUNGCUCANAUUGAACGCUGGCGGCAUGCCUAACACAUGCAAGUCGAACGGUAACGACGGGAGCUUGCUCCCGGGCGACGAGUGGCGGACGGGUGAGUAAUACUUAGGAAUCUGCCCAGUAGUGGGGGACAACUCGAGGAAACUCGAGCUAAUACCGCAUACGCCCUACGGGGGAAAGCGGAGGAUCUUUCGGGACUUCGCACUAUUGGAUGAGCCUAAGUCGGAUUAGCUUGUUGGUGGGGUAAAGGCCUACCAAGGCGACGAUCUGUAGCUGGUCUGAGAGGACGAUCAGCCACACUGGGACUGAGACACGGCCCAGACUCCUACGGGAGGCAGCAGUGGGGAAUAUUGGACAAUGGGGGCAACCCUGAUCCAGCAAUGCCGCGUGUGUGAAGAAGGCCUGCGGGUUGUAAAGCACUUUCAGUAGAGAAGAAAAGCCCAUGGUUAAUACCCGUGGGUCCUGACGUAACCUACAGAAGAAGCACCGGCUAACUCCGUGCCAGCAGCCGCGGUAAUACGGAGGGUGCGAGCGUUAAUCGGAAUUACUGGGCGUAAAGCGCGCGUAGGCGGUUUGGUCAGUCGGAUGUGAAAGCCCCAGGCUCAACCUGGGAAUGGCAUUCGAUACUGCCUGACUAGAGUAUGGUAGAGGGAAGUGGAAUUUCCGGUGUAGCGGUGAAAUGCGUAGAUAUCGGAAGGAACACCAGUGGCGAAGGCGACUUCCUGGGCCAAUACUGACGCUAAGGUGCGAAAGCGUG
rnacentral:rRNA from 1 species